rnacentral:rRNA from 1 species
ACAUGUGGAGCGCUUAGAAGUGAGAAUGCCGGUGUGAGUAGCGAAAGACGGGUGAGAAUCCCGUCCACCGAUUGACUAAGGUUUCCAGAGGAAGGCUCGUCCGCUCUGGGUUAGUCGGGUCCUAAGCUGAGGCCGACAGGCGUAGGCGAUGGAUAACAGGUUGAUAUUCCUGUACCACCUAUAAUCGUUUUAAUCGAUGGGGGGACGCAGUAGGAUAGGCGAAGCGUGCGAUUGGAUUGCACGUCUAAGCAGUAAGGCUGAGUAUUAGGCAAAUCCGGUACUCAUUAAGGCUGAGCUGUGAUGGGGAGAAGACAUUGUGUCUUCGAGUCGUUGAUUUCACACUGCCGAGAAAAGCCUCUAGAUAGAAAAUAGGUGCCCGUACCGCAAACCGACACAGGUAGUCAAGAUGAGAAUUCUAAGGUGAGCGAGCGAACUCUCGUUAAGGAACUCGGCAAAAUGACCCCGUAACUUCGGGAGAAGGGGUGCUCUUUAGGGUUAACGCCCAGAAGAGCCGCAGUGAAUAGGCCCAAGCGACUGUUUAUCAAAAACACAGGUCUCUGCUAAACCGUAAGGUGAUGUAUAGGGGCUGACGCCUGCCCGGUGCUGGAAGGUUAAGAGGAGUGGUUAGCUUCUGCGAAGCUACGAAUCGAAGCCCCAGUAAACGGCGGCCGUAACUAUAACGGUCCUAAGGUAGCGAAAUUCCUUGUCGGGUAAGUUCCGACCCGCACGAAAGGCGUAACGAUUUGGGCACUGUCUCAACGAGAGACUCGGUGAAAUCAUAGUACCUGUGAAGAUGCAGGUUACCCGCGACAGGACGGAAAGACCCCGUGGAGCUUUACUGUAGCCUGAUAUUGAAAUUCGGCACAGCUUGUACAGGAUAGGUAGGAGCCUUUGAAACGUGAGCGCUAGCUUACGUGGAGGCGCUGGUGGGAUACUACCCUAGCUGUGUUGGCUUUCUAACCCGCACCACUUAUCGUGGUGGGAGACAGUGUCAGGCGGGCAGUUUGACUGGGGCGGUCGCCUCCUAAAAGGUAACGGAGGCGCUCAAAGGUUCCCUCAGAAUGGUUGGAAAUCAUUCAUAGAGUGUAAAGGCAUAAGGGAGCUUGACUGCGAGACCUACAAGUCGAGCAGGGUCGAAAGACGGACUUAGUGAUCCGGUGGUUCCGCAUGGAAGGGCCAUCGCUCAACGGAUAAAAGCUACCCCGGGGAUAACAGGCUUAUCUCCCCCAAGAGUUCACAUCGACGGGGAGGUUUGGCACCUCGAUGUCGGCUCAUCGCAUCCUGGGGCUGUAGUCGGUCCCAAGGGUUGGGCUGUUCGCCCAUUAAAGCGGUACGCGAGCUGGGUUCAGAACGUCGUGAGACAGUUCGGUCCCUAUCCGUCGUGGGCGUAGGAAAUUUGAGAGGAGCUGUCCUUAGUACGAGAGGACCGGGAUGGACAUACCUCUGGUGUACCAGUUGUCGUGCCAACGGCAUAGCUGGGUAGCUAUGUGUGGACGGGAUAAGUGCUGAAAGCAUCUAAGCAUGAAGCCCCCCUCAAGAUGAGAUUUCCCAACUUCGGUUAUAAGAUCCCUCAAAGAUGAUGAGGUUAAUAGGUUCGAGGUGGAAGCAUGGUGACAUGUGGAGCUGACGAAUACUAA